GGUCAAGUGAAUAAGCGCAUACGGUGGAUGCCUAGGCGGUAAGAGGCGAUGAAGGACGUUGUAGCUUGCGAUAAGCCUCGGGGAGUCAGCAAACAGACUUUGAUCCGAGGAUUUCCGAAUGGGGAAACCCAGCCAGUGUAAGCUGGUUAUCGUUAACUGAAUACAUAGGUUAACGAGGCGAACCCGGGGAACUGAAACAUCUAAGUACCCGGAGGAAAAGAAAUCAACCGAGAUUCCCUUAGUAGCGGCGAGCGAACGGGGAUUAGCCCUUAAGCUUUUAGGGUGUUAGUGGAACGAUCUGGAAAGUUCGGCGAUACAGGGUGAUAGCCCCGUACACGAAAACUAACUAAGAGUGAAAUCGAGUAGGGCGGAGCACGUGAAACUCUGUCUGAACAUGGGGGGACCAUCCUCCAAGGCUAAAUACUCCUUACCGACCGAUAGUGAACCAGUACCGUGAGGGAAAGGCGAAAAGAACCCCGUUUAGGGGAGUGAAAUAGAACCUGAAACCGUAUGCGUACAAGCAGUGGGAGCCCUUCGGGGUGACUGCGUACCUUUUGUAUAAUGGGUCAGCGACUUACUUCUCAGUAGCAAGCUUAACCGAAUAGGGGAGGCGUAGGGAAACCGAGUCUUAAUAGGGCGAUCAGUUGCUGGGAGUAGACCCGAAACCGGGCGAUCUAUCCAUGGCCAGGGUGAAGGUGGGGUAACACCUGCUGGAGGCCCGAACCCACUUAUGUUGAAAAAUGAGGGGAUGAGCUGUGGAUCGGAGUGAAAGGCUAAUCAAGCCCGGAGAUAGCUGGUUCUCCUCGAAAGCUAUUUAGGUAGCGCCUCAUGUAUCACCUCAGGGGGUAGAGCACUGUUACGGCUAGGGGGUCAUCCCGACUUACCAAACCGUUGCAAACUCCGAAUACCUGAGAGUGCAAUCAUGGGAGACACACGGCGGGUGCUAACGUCCGUCGUGGAAAGGGAAACAACCCAGACCGCCAGCUAAGGUCCCAAAAUCACAUCUCAGUGGGAAACGAUGUGGGAAGGCCCAGACAGCCAGGAGGUUGGCUUAGAAGCAGCCAUCCUUUAAAGAAAGCGUAAUAGCUCACUGGUCGAGUCGGCCUGCGCGGAAGAUUUAACGGGGCUUAAGAUGUGUACCGAAGCUGCGGAUGCAAGCUUGCUUGCAUGGUAGAGGAGCGUUCUGUAAGCGGUUGAAGGUGUGCUGUAAGGCAUGCUGGACGUAUCAGAAGUGCGAAUGCUGACAUGAGUAACGAUAAGAGGGGUGAGAGGCCCCUCCGCCGAAAACCCAAGGUUUCCUGCGCAACGCUAAUCGGCGCAGGGUUAGUCGGCCCCUAAGGCGAGGCAGAAAUGCGUAGUCGAUGGGAAGCAGGUUAAUAUUCCUGCACCUCUUAUUACUGCGAUGGAGAGACGGAGAAGGCUAGGUCAUCCGGGCGUUGGUUGUCCCGGUAUAAGCAUGUAGGGAGUGGGAUUAGGCAAAUCCGGUUCCACAAUCCUGAGAUGCGAUGUCGAGCUCUAUUUUGAGCGAAGUGAUCGAUGCCCUGCUUCCAGGAAAAUCUUCUAAGCUUCAGGUAAUAAGAGACCGUACUCCAAACCGACACAGGUGGGUAGGAUGAGAAUUCCAAGGCGCUUGAGAGAACUCUGGUGAAGGAACUAGGCAAAAUGGCACCGUAACUUCGGGAGAAGGUGCACCCUUGAUAGUGAUGAGACUUGCUCUCUAAGCUGUUGGGGGUCGCAGUGAAAUGGUGGCUGCAACUGUUUAUUAAAAACAUAGCACUCUGCAAACUCGAAAGAGGACGUAUAGGGUGUGACGCCUGCCCGGUGCCGGAAGGUUAAUUGAUGGGGUUAGUCUUCGGACGAAGCUCUUGAUCGAAGCCCCGGUAAACGGCGGCCGUAACUAUAACGGUCCUAAGGUAGCGAAAUUCCUUGUCGGGUAAGUUCCGACCUGCACGAAUGGCGUAAUGAUGGCCACACUGUCUCCACCAGAGACUCAGUGAAAUUGAACUCGCUGUUAAGAUGCAGUGUGCCCGCGGCUAGACGGAAAGACCCCGUGAACCUUUACUACAGCUUCACACUGGACUUUGAGCCUACUUGUGUAGGAUAGCUGGGAGGCUUUGAAGCGUGGACGCCAGUCUGCGUGGAGCCAAACUUGAAAUACCAGCCUGGUAUGUUUGAAGUUCUAACCUCGACCCGUUAUCCGGGUUAGGGACAGUGUGUGGUGGGUAGUUUGACUGGGGCGGUCUCCUCCCAAAGAGUAACGGAGGAGCACGAAGGUACCCUCAGCGCGGUCGGAAAUCGCGCACUGAGUGCAAAGGCAUAAGGGUGCUUGACUGCGAGACAGACAAGUCGAGCAGGUACGAAAGUAGGUCUUAGUGAUCCGGUGGCUCUGUAUGGAAGGGCCAUCGCUCAACGGAUAAAAGGUACUCCGGGGAUAACAGGCUGAUACCGCCCAAGAGUUCAUAUCGACGGCGGUGUUUGGCACCUCGAUGUCGGCUCAUCACAUCCUGGGGCUGAAGUCGGUCCCAAGGGUAUGGCUGUUCGCCAUUUAAAGUGGUACGCGAGCUGGGUUUAGAACGUCGUGAGACAGUUCGGUCCCUAUCUGCCGUGGGCGUUUGAGAUUUGAGGGAAGCUGCUCCUAGUACGAGAGGACCGGAGUGGACGAACCUCUGGUGUUCCGGUUGUCACGCCAGUGGCAUUGCCGGGUAGCUACGUUCGGACAGGAUAACCGCUGAAAGCAUCUAAGCGGGAAGCCCCUCCCAAGAUUAGAUCUCACUGACUCCUAGAGAGUCCUGUAGGGCCCUUGAAGACUACAAGGUUGAUAGGCUGGGUGUGGAAGCGCAGUAAUGCGUGAAGCUAACCAGUACUAAUUGCCCGUGAGGCUUGACCAU
rfam:Solemya elarraichensis gill symbiont isolate Se-Cadez Svelesiana_sym_scaffold4, whole genome shotgun sequence.